AAGGGUUGAGAGAGAGAAAAACUUACGAACGCGAAAGUAGAGGGAGAAUCUCACUCGGAAGAGGGUUCACUGAGAAGCUCUUAGACACACUCGUAGGAGGAUCUCACUCGUGCUCAGAUCUCAGAAGCUCUCUCACUCAGAAGCUCUCUCACUCUCUCACACGCUCAAGAAUCGCAACACCUCAAAGUGUCGCUCAACACAGUCCGC
rnacentral:lncRNA from 1 species